CUACGGGUCGCUGCAGUGGGGAAUUUUGGACAAUGGGGGAAACCCUGAUCCAGCCAUCCCGCGUGUGCGAUGAAGGCCUUCGGGUUGUAAAGCACUUUUGGCAGGAAAGAAACGUCGCGGGUUAAUACCCUGCGAAACUGACGGUACCUGCAGAAUAAGCACCGGCAAACUACGUGCCAGCAGCCGCGGUAAUACGUAGGGUGCAAGCGUUAAUCGGAAUUACUGGGCGUAAAGCGUGCGCAGGCGGUUCGGAAAGAAAGAUGUGAAAUCCCAGAGCUUAACUUUGGAACUGCAUUUUUAACUACCGGGCUAGAGUGUGUCAGAGGGAGGUGGAAUUCCGCGUGUAGCAGUGAAAUGCGUAGAUAUGCGGAGGAACACCGAUGGCGAAGGCAGCCUCCGGGGAUAACACUGACGCUCAUGCACGAAAGCGUGGGGAGCAAACAGGAUUAGAUACCCGGGUAGUC
rnacentral:rRNA from 1 species